AAUGCUGUGGGAAUUGGAUUGGACUAUAGCUGGAACGCUAUUGCGAUUGGAUUUGUUAUUACGAUCAAGUCCAUGUUACAAGCAUGGGCUGGCCCAUUUAAGCCCCAGCUUAACCAGAGUGAAAAGUCCAUAAACCUCCGCGACGAAAUCGAGACACUGGAGCUGGGGUUUUACAGUUUCCAGCAGUCUCCUUGUGACAGAUUUGUUUGACCGUGAGGAUGGCUUAUUUUCUGCAGAAUCUUCUUUCAAGUUUUAAACCCAUUUUAGAUAAUGUUUUAAUUUAGCGUAUGGCAGCUUCUCAUGCGUAUAGGAGGUUUUCAACAUCUUGCUCACUCCUGGGUCAAUCGGUGGUGCAUUCCCCUCUGAUUUAUUUUCCUCGAGGACUGUUAACGCCAGAUUGCUUGGUAUGGAAAGAUUUGAAUUUGCAUUGCAUGACUUUGUGGGUGAUGCAUUGGAUAGGAAAAAUUUAUAGCUGCUGAAAUGAUCGACUUAUACUUGAGAUAUUCAUUUGACGGCUUAAUGCUUAAUCUUUUAAUAUCAUUUAUACCUGGUGAGUUGUUUAUUAUUUUUUUUUUUUUUUUUUGAAUUAAAAAAAUUAU